rnacentral:rRNA from 1 species
UACGGGGGGGGCAAGCGUUGUUCGGAAUUACUGGGCGUAAAGGGCGCGUAGGCGGCCUGCUAAGUCGAACGUGAAAUCCCUGGGCUCAACCCAGGAACUGCGUCCGAUACUGGUUGGCUUGAAUCCGGGAGAGGGAUGUGGAAUUCCUGGUGUAGCGGUGAAAUGCGUAGAGAUCAGGAAGAACACCGGUGGCGAAAGCGUUCUGCUAGACCUGUACUGACACUGAGGGACGAAAGCUAGGGGAGCGAAUGGG